UGGGGAAUAUUGCACAAUGGGGGAAACCCUGAUGCAGCCAUGCCGCGUGUGUGAAGAAGGCUCUAGGGUUGUAAAGCACUUUAAGCAGGGAGGAAGGCUGUAAAGUUAAUACCUUUGCAGAUUGACGUUACCUGCAGAAUAAGCACCGGCUAACUCCGUGCCAGCAGCCGCGGUAAUACGGAGGGUGCAAGCGUUAAUCGGAAUUACUGGGCGUAAAGCGCGCGUAGGCGGUUUGUUAAGUCAGAUGUGAAAGCCCAGGGCUCAACCUUGGAACUGCAUCUGAUACUGGCAGGCUAGAGUACAGGAGAGGGAAGUGGAAUUUCAGGUGUAGCGGUGAAAUGCGUAGAGAU
rnacentral:rRNA from 1 species